AAUGGAUUGGGUAUUCACCUUAUAAAUUAUCAAAUCAAUGAUUGGUUCUAUUUGGCUUGGUACCCAAACCCUAUAAAAUAGGACCAAACCGCCAUAUUUGUCAGGCUAUUGUUCUCUCGUUUCCUAGAAUCAAUGGAGUAAGACAUCGAUCUCUUAGAUCAAUUCCCUUGAUUGCAUGAUGGACUCCCCAAAAAAAGCAUUGGCGCACAUGUAAACGAGGUGCUCUACCUAACUGAGCUAUAGCCCUACCCUUGUCAUAGACAUCUUACCAUAUGGAUCCUUUUUUGUCAAGAUGAAUAUUCCAUGAUUCAGACAUGAUAGCUCUGAUCGGGUUCCUGCCAAAAGUUGGUGUUGCUUAGAAGUAAGAUUCCCUCUAUAAUCCUUUAUGUGUAUCACUGAUUCCCAAGAGACCCAAGAGACCCUAUUGAGUGAGAGAAUAAUUAGCCUUGGAUGAUUUGACUUUGGUAACCAAGAAGAAGCAGAAGAAGCAAAUUUGGCAAAAAUCAAGCAUAAAAAGAAAGAUUUCUCCUGGGGGUUAGACAGUGAACCUAACAAAAAGGCUGUCAUCAUUAUUGUGUUAUAAAAGGUAAGCGAAGGUGGAUUUCAUUUGUUUACAAGAGUGCAGGGGUCGCCAAAUGCCCAAUGUUUUUCUUUCAAUUAUUGCUAGUGACAGGAAAGCUAUUGUAGUCAAUCUGUACAGAGUUUGGAUUGAUGAUGCAACGGCGAAUCAGGAAUGGUGGCAGAGCAUCACAUGUUGAACAAAACAAAGAGGCAAAAAAAAGCUUG
rnacentral:lncRNA from 1 species